GACGAACGCUGGCGGCGCGCCUAACACAUGCAAGUCGAACGAGCGAGAGAGAGCUUGCUUUCUCCAGCGAGUGGCGAACGGGUGAGUAACGCGUGAGGAACCUGCCUCAAAGAGGGGGACAACAGUUGGAAACGACUGCUAAUACCGCAUAAGCCCACAGGUCGGCAUCGACCAGAGGGAAAAGGAGCAAUCCGCUUUGAGAUGGCCUCGCGUCCGAUUAGCUAGUUGGUGAGGUAACGGCCCACCAAGGCAACGAUCGGUAGCCGGACUGAGAGGUUGAACGGCCACAUUGGGACUGAGACACGGCCCAGACUCCUACGGGAGGCAGCAGUGGGGAAUAUUGCACAAUGGGGGAAACCCUGAUGCAGCGACGCCGCGUGGAGGAAGAAGGUCUUCGGAUUGUAAACUCCUGUUGUUGAGGAAGAUAAUGACGGUACUCAACAAGGAAGUGACGGCUAACUACGUG
rnacentral:rRNA from 1 species